UUCCGGUGUGAUCCUGCGCGGACCCCACUGCUAUCGGGAUGGGACUAAGACAUGCUAGUCGUGCGCCUCCAAGCCACGGUGGAGGCGCGGCGCACAGCUCAGUAACACGUGGCUAACCUACCCUUGGGACGGAAACAACCCCGGGAAACUGGGGUUAAUUUCCGAUAGGUGAAGACUCCUGGAAUGGGUCUUCGCCCAAAAGGCGCCUGGACCAUGCUUCUAAGCGCUGCCCAAGGAUGGGGCCGCGGCCGAUCAGGUAGUUGGUGAGGUAACGGCUCACCAAGCCUAUAACCGGUUCGGGCCGUGAGAGCGGGAGCCCGGAGAUGGGCACUGAGACAAGGGCCCAGGCCCUACGGGGCGCAGCAGUCGCGAAAACUCCGCAAUACGCGAAAGCGUGACGGGGCCAUCCCGAGUGCCGUCCGCUGAGGAUGGCUUUUCCCCAGUGUAGAUAGCUGGGGGGAAUAAGGAGAGGGCAAGUCCGGUGUCAGCCGCCGCGGUAAUACCAGCUCUCCGAGUGGUGGGGAUGUUUAUUGGGCUUAAAGCAUCCGUAGCCGGCUGGGCAAGUCCCCUGUUAAAUCUAACGAUUCAAUCGUUGGAUUGCGGGGGAUACUGCUCGGCUAGGGGGCGGGAGAGGCCGACGGUAUUCCCGGGGUAGGGGUGAAAUCCUAUAAUCCCGGGAGGACCACCAGUGGCGAAAGCUGUCGGCUAGAACGCGCCCGACGGUGAGGGAUGAAAGCUGGGGGAGCGAACCGGAUUAGAUACCCGGGUAGUCCCAGCUGUAAACGAUGCACGCUAGUGUUCGGCGGCCACGUGCCGCUCGAGUGCCGCAGGAAACUGUUAAGCCUGCCGCCUGGGGAGUACGGCCGCAAGGCUGAACUUAAA
rnacentral:rRNA from 1 species